ACUAAGGCUAAGAGUUCAAGGCAUUUGCCUAAGGUCACACAGCUGAUGAAUGGUUUUGGCAGAACUUUCUACUGCUCAUGAGUAUCCAUUUUCUCUUUUUCUUUCUAGGUAUGUCUUAAACUAUUUUCCUUGGUCAUCUUGCAAUUAGGCUAACCACAUCACUGAAUUCUGGCCAGUGAAAUAGGGGACAGAAAUGAUUUUGCCACUUCUGGUCCUUGGUCUAUCAUGCCUUUUCCCGUCACUAUCUGGAUGACCCAGGGCACUGGGAAGCUGUGAAAAUGGGAGGAACUUGCUCCCUGAGUGACUACAUGGAGCAGAGCACCCUUCACCCUGCCCUCUGACUUGGGUGAGGGAUGAAGAAAGAAAGGUCUGUCAAGGUUCAGAAAAUGCUAGUCAUUCUCCUGAUUCACCAGACUGCCUUGAUUUAGUGCUCAUUGCGUCCAAGACUGUCCUCUGAGAGGUGCUGGAAUGAAACUGAUUGCCAUGCCAUUGUGGAAGCCAAUUUAUGAAGAAAGGAGCCAAGAACCGCUGGCAGAAAAUUUUGGAAACUUUUUUCAAAUUGUGGAAAUGGCUUGUGGACCUGUACCAGGAGCUCUAAGUACUUUCCAUGGUGUGACAAAGAUGCUAGCUGCUUCAGUGUAAAGAUCCUCCCCUUCGUUGAUAGCGGAUAAGUGGACCCCUGGCCAUCUGGAAUUUCCCAGUGUUCCUUGCAGCUAGGUGUGGUCCUGUGGCUGAGAUCUGGCUGAUGAGGUUUACAGGUGGAAAGAUGUGAUCAGGACUUGAUGCGCAUG